rnacentral:rRNA from 1 species
ACUCAAAUGAAUUGACGGGGACCCGCACAAGCGGUGGAGCAUGUGGUUUAAUUCGAAGCAACGCGAAGAACCUUACCAAAUCUUGACAUCCCUCUGACGUACACUUAAUCGUGUAUUCCCUUCGGGGCAGAGGUGACAGGUGGUGCAUGGUUGUCGUCAGCUCGUGUCGUGAGAUGUUGGGUUAAGUCCCGCAACGAGCGCAACCCUUAUCUUUAGUAGCCAGCAUUUCGGAUGGGCACUCUAGAGAGACUGCCGGGGAUAACCCGGAGGAAGGCGGGGAUGACGUCAAAUCAUCAUGCCCCUUAUGAUUUGGGCUACACACGUGCUACAAUGGCGUAAACAAAGGGAAGCAAAGUCGCGAGGCCAAGCAAAUCCCAAAAAUAACGUCUCAGUUCGGAUUGUAGUCUGCAACUCGACUACAUGAAGCUGGAAUCGCUAGUAAUCGCGAAUCAGAAUGUCGCGGUGAAUACGUUCCCGGGUCUUGUACACACCGCCCGU